UGAGAGACGCUGGGAUACAGUGAGCAGAGGAACUUUGCAGCGUGAAGAAAAUCACCUGUUUGGUUAACAGCAAAAAAACAAAACACAUGGAUUUAAACAAACAAUUUAACAGGCACUGCUACAAAACUGCCGUCAAAUCAGACUGAUGCUGAACAUUAUUCAAGAAAACUACAUCAUUUAAGGAGUUAAUUUACAUGGAUCUAUCUGGAUAUUGACACUCCUCGAAUUAUCUACAAUUGAACCGAAAAUACAGUGUGUUAAACACACAGUUCUUUAGUGUCACUUGCAUGGUGCGUGACAGAAUGUGGAAUUACUCUUCAUGGGGUUUUCCAUUGUUUAUCCUUUGAUGAAUAGAUAGUUCUUUAAUCUGUUCUAUUCAACAUUUGACAGAGAUUUUCUGGAGAUAAAUCCUCCCCAUCUGGAGCAGUGGAAGUGAUACAGAUAUGAUCUCGUUAAGUAAAGAUGGUUGCGCCAUUAGCAAUACCAACGUGUUUUGGGAGUCCAACUAGUCCAUACUCGGAGGGAAAAUUCUACAAAUAAAUUCAUCUGAAAGAAUAAAAAUAGGAAAACUCUUGUUUUUAUCCUAUUGCCAUGAUCUACUACUAUAUUUAAAACUAGGAUGGGUUUUAAUCCUGUUUUCCAUAAGAGAAUGUUCACUUUUUAAAAGAGAAGUGGAUUUUGGGAUACAUGGUGAAGCAAAAAAACAUGAUAAUGUAUGGAGAAUUGCUUUUAAACUCCAGCAAUGCCACUGAAGCUCAAGUGAUGAUUCAGACUAACACUCAUUACCUUAGCAGCACUCAAAGACCUGUGAGUGCCUCUGUACUCUAUAUGUCUACAGCAAAGGCGAUGAAGGAAGGGGGCAUGAAUAAACCAGACCUACUGACUUAUGUUGUUCUGUUUCUUCUUCUUUUUCUGACUGUGGCAAUAAUUGUACUUUUUAUUAAUUGUCAACUGAGAAAUUCAUUCUUUGCUGGUCUGCCUUAUGACAGGUCAAUAAGAGAAGCCAGAAGUCCAUGGAAAACACAGUCAGUCUGACUUGUGAUUCAAAAAAUGUCAUAAACAAUUUAUUAUUCUAUUUUAUUAUUAUUAUUUUGUAAACAUAGCGUAAGAAAUGUUAGUUCUUUAUGAUUUAACCUUUUGAUUGCCAGUUUUUAAUAACAACUUACAUGACACCCCACUGUCAACUAAAAGCUUACUAUCAUAUCAAACUCUAAAUGUGAUAUUGUGGGUUUAUUCUUAAUAUUGUCAAUAUGUUAUUAAAUAUAUAUAUUGAAAUAAAUAAUAUAGGUUUCAUUUAAGAUUGCUAGUCCCAUUAUGCCUUGACGAACGCAGAUCAUGUCUACAUUUUAAUGGGCAGCCCUGUCCUUGUAUCCUUGUAUCCUUGUAUCAUUCAUUUAUUGUAUGGGGAAAAGCAAUUAAUCCAGAUAGUUAUCAGGGAUCCCUCCUUGUGUGAGUAAUGUAUUCUACGACUUCCUGCGUUAUAUAAAUUCUACAUACUGCAGGGCAGCAUUAUUCUUGUUUUGCCCACCAAUUGUUGGAGUUAUGUGUGCCCAAGAAAAUAUGACAACAACAUACAAUGUAAACACACAAUCACAUACUCUAUAUUAUUUGCAGCAUGACUAGUAUAAACUCAUUUAGAGUUUUUAUCUCCUCCACCCCCUCACUGGCACUCACAGUCAAUAAAAUACCAUAUCUUGCCAUUCAGUGCCAAGGGAAACAGAAUUGACAUUUAAACUGUGUUCUCACUGAGAAGGAGAAUGACAUAGCUUUGAUAUAAGGAUAUAGCAAAGGAUAUAAGGAUAUAGCAAAUUCAAAAUUUUCUUUACAUAUAAAUGUGAAGGCUGUUGCUUGCAUAAUUUGGAAGGGUAGCACUUCAUUUAGAAGCUGCCAGCGCAUCACUUUGAUCAAUUUAGUGAGGUUUAUUUCCCAAGGUUUUCAUUGCUGGCAAAUUGAUUCAGCUCAAUGUUAUUGCAUUUUUAAUAUCAUUACACCCAUGUUUUGCAAAUUAAAAUGCAAAGAAAUAUCUAGAGGGAGGCCUGGUAGUUAAACUUAAUUAUUUAGCCAAAUAAGUGUUCUCUUGGCUGCCUUGACUCACAAAGGCACAGCUUGCACUUUAUUUUGACUUGCGCAGUGUAGGAAUCACAGGAGUUUUUACUAACACAUUAAUUGUUUGCAAUUUAAAGCAAAUUUAACAUUUAGGCCAAAAUAUAUCAAAAGAAAACAUUUUACUUUGAAUUUACUUAGAAUUCCUGAUAACUCACACUGUAUACACAUUUGUUAUGAGUUGAUUAAUAGGGAAAAGAGAGUGACAAAAUGCAACUUCCAGUUUUAGGAAUGAAAAGAAAAUCAUUUAUUCACUACAAGGACAAUAGUGAGAGGUCAAUGUAAUAGACAAUCUUAAAAAACAAUCUCUUUCAGAUCUGCAGUAAUUUCCUGUGUACAAAUGACUGCAUGAUGUUGCUCAGUACAUGAACAAUGCUGCCUUGAAUAUGCAGAGUUCAAUGCUGCCAACAACACAUAAGAUAAUCAUCGGGAAAAAAAAACUGUUUUGUUUAGCAAAUUAAUUUCCCACCUCUGUUCCACAUAAUACCAGGUAACACUUUUAUAUGCUGCCUGUUACCAUGAAGAUAUAAUUAGCUAACAACUGAAGUUUAGUGAAUAACUCUGUAUAAAACAUAAUGGAGCAGCAUCCCUACUCCCAUGUGUACUUCUCUCAAAGUAAAACCAAUGGGGCUGAUUUACUUAUAAUUGUAUGUGCACAGGUGGGCAGGAUCCGUUAUUACAUUUUAGAAACAGUAUAGUCGCCAAAACAGCUUUAGCUUAAUGAAGCAGUUUUGGUGUACAGAUCAUUCCCCUGCAGUCUUGCUGCUCAAUUCUCUGCUAUAUAGGAGUUAAAUCCCUUUAUUUAUGCAGCCCUAGACAUACCUCCCUGCAUGUGACUUGCACAGCCUCCUUAAACACUUCCUGUGAGGAGUCAUCUAAUGUUUACACUUCGUUUAUUGGAAAUUCUGUUUAAUUUAGAAUGUCUUAUCUCUGUGGCUAGGGCUACAUAAACAGAAACAAAAGUAAUUUUACUUCUAAAUGGCAAAGAAUUGAGCAGUGAAACUUCAGAGGCUUGAUCUAUACACAAAAACGGCUUCAUUAAGCUAAAGUUGUCUUGAUGACUAUAGUAUCCCUUUAACUUUUUUAUUUGCUCUAUUACUUAUUUCUCAAUAUUUAGCAAUGCAAGUAAUAUUUGUGCAACGAGUUAAAGUCAAUCCAACAUUUACCAACAAACAUAUAAAUAUUUGUUAUUCUAAGAAACCAGAUAAAUAUGUUAGUUCAACAUAUACCUGGGUCUGUAAAUAAAGAAACUGACAAGUUUUAAUCCACAAAAUCAGAAUUGAUUAAUGAAUAAACUACAUGAUAUGUUGAUCUGGUUACCUUAAUCUAGGCCUACCGAUUGUCCCGCUAUUGAAUGGACAGCCCCUAUUAAUGGUCCUGUUGCACUAUCCUGAUUUUGUUCCCUGGUGUCCUGCAUCUGGAGACACCAGGGAAGUGUCUGCUAGGAACACAGAGCAAGUACAUCAUUAGGUCCUAGUGCAGUGGGCACUAAGACCAUCCAGAAAGUGCUACAGCAGCGCUCUCUGCACUGUCCUGUAUGUUGAGUGCUGACCAGGAGGCUGUAUGGCAUGUUUGAUAGCAGGUUGGCAUGCCCACUUUACACGCAGGUCUACCCAUUAUGGGUGUUAUCCUUGAGGUAUGUUGUGUGCUACUAGUGAUGCCCUCCUGAGGGCUUAUCCGCCUGUCCCGAUUCCAUACCUCCCAAUGUUGCAGACUUCCCAAAAGAUUUCUGCCAGACAGUACCGAUUUUCAGAUCCUAGUUGCCUGGUGUUCCAGCUUUUGGGGACUCAACAAGCAUUGCUUGAGUGUAUCGUUAGAACUAAUGCAGUUUGUUUGCUAAACAUUUUUUUUCAAAGAGUGAGUUAUGCAACAUUUGAUGCAUACAUCCUAUAUAUAAAAUGGAUCUGCAGAUCUGCUGGAUUUUGAGUUUUCUCCUUUACACAACUCCCAUAAUCAUUUACAGGAUUAUUUACUAAACUCUGAACAGUCCGUAAUUUGCAGGAAAUGUAAAAUGUAAAAUUUUAGGCCAGUUCACAUAUUUUACCCAACAUUUUCCAAUUUGGUUAUUACAUUUUUGUAUGUUGUACAAAACUAUUUGUUAACUCACCAGAAAUUUGUUCACUAAACAGUGAGCUGAAAACAAGCCUGACAAUGUUAGACUAAAAUAGAUGGGAAGAAAUGCAAUGCUGCCAAUUUGAUUGUGUGCCUUACAGUUUGGCUGUUAACAGUCCAUAACUCUUUACAAAAUAUAGAUUAAGUAACAUCACACACAGAAAAAUACAGUUUUACAUUUUACAAUGCUACUUAAACUCUCCUAUCUUAGCCAUAGAUAUGGACAUUCAGUUCCGCUAUAUGGCCAUUUUGUCUAAAGCCCACCACUAUGUCACAGUACCCCAUGUAUUUUGUAUAACUUUCGUCUUCAUGCCAGCACCACUGCUAAGAAAUGCAUGUUCCGAGUGUGCCCCCAAUUGCCCCCUUUAUUUUAGACCAUAAUUCAUUGUCCAGAUUAUUUCCUCCCGUUUUUGCUCCUAAAGUUUAAAAUAAAUAAUUUCUGCACUUUUUUAAAUACGUAUUUCUAAUGGCAAUAGCAUUUUAUGAUUUGAUUUGAUUUAUAUAAAAUAUGUAGUAGGUUAUGGUAGUAGAAAUUGUAAUGUACUCUCUAAACAGAGAUUCGCAGUAAAUUUGAAAACGAAAUUGCAAAAGUUUCAGGCUAAAAUAGAUUUGUAUAAAGCUGCAUGUCCCCAACUUCAGUGUCCAGUCUAGGUGGGUAAAAGCAGAAUGGCCAGUGACAUCAUCCGUGUCACUUGUAGUCCCCAAAAAGCUGACUGCAGUCAAACAGGCCUACCACAUAGUGCAAGCUCCUCUAAUAAUGUGUUAACACUAUGCUUUAUGGAGACAGUUUUCUGGUGUCCGUAAAAGCGGGAACACAAGUCAGGACCCUAAAAUAGGAACUGUCGCACCAAAAUGGAGACAGUUGGGAUGUUGGUGCCUGAGUUGGAGAAUUUCCCUGUAUCUGCUAUUGCUGCAUAUAUUUUGCAGCUUAAUUCUCAACUCACUACAAUUUGGUGUUUAGUGAAUAAACCCCAUAGUGUUUUUUUGUUGUUUUGUUUUUAAUAACAAUACUGCAAGUGCAAGUUAUGGCUAUUUAAACUAAACUAGGCUUGUUCUUAGAUUGGCCAUUAUCUAUUUCCAAUACUUUGUUAUAUUAUCUGAGUCCAACAUGAUAAAUACAGAACAAUUUCUACAUUUGUAAUAAAAUUCAGGAAAUUGACAUAUUUAAUAUAGCUGAUAAAAAUUUAUUAAAAAAAGUUUUAAAAAAA